UGAGGUGUCACUCAUCCAUGGCUCCUAGGUGCCUAUAUAAGGAUGUGCCCCCCUCUUGCCAUGACAUACCAUCCCACCCCCAUCCACACACAUUCAAGGGCAAGGUAGAAGUAAAGUAGUCAUAGUUCUUAAGGCGGUAAGGCGAGACAAGGCGUUGGGCCCCCGCCUGGACGCCUAGGGGAUGCCUAGGCGCUUACUAAGGCGACGCCUUACCAAUUAAAGAAAAAGGGAGAAAGAAAAAAAAAGAAGGAAUGGGUAGAAGAGAUGGCCCAGCCCACUAGGUAGGCAGCCCAUAUAUCCUCCCUGAUGGUUAGGGUUGCUCCCAUCUCACUGUCGCUGCUCCUGUCUGUCACAGCAUCGCUACUCGUCCACAUCACAGCAUCGCUGCUCCUGCUCCCCCAAGCUCGGCGCUCCCCCGAGUCUCAGCGUCGCCGCUCCCCCGAGUUCUGCACCGCCGCUCCCUCGAGCUCGUCACUCCCCCGAGUUCUGCGCCGCCGAUCCCGCUCCCCAAAGUCUCUGCUAGGCUUCUUCCCCCUCCCCUCUUGCCUCUCUUGUUGACUCUUGGAUAGGCGACGGGGACGCCUAGACUUUUUGGCCGCCUGGACGCCUAGGCGUCGCCUAGACGACGCCUUUGCAACCAUGAAAGUAGUGUUAAAGUAUAGAAGCCCUUGCAUAAGCAUGUGUCCAUGUUGUAAGUAUUUUGUUAUGCUGUAAAAUUUCUAUUUGCUUAGUGCAUAAGUUGUGAUCCAUCUAAAGGAGUGCUCUGCCUCCCGGGAUCACAAGGCUUCAUUUGUAGGAGUGCUCUGCCUCCCGGAAGCCAGCUUCAUCUGUAGGAGUGCUCUGCCUCCCGAAAGCAAAUAUGGCUGGCUUUAUCGCCUAUCGUGCACUAAGUAACUAGACAUUAAAUGUGAACUAUUGUAAUGUAUUGAUGUAUGUUAUUUUGAUUGUUGUAUAUCCACUCGUGAUGUCUCUUUAGUAGAACCAGUUCCAGAAGAGAACCCGGAGGAGCCAGGAGACGAAGAACAUGACGCCGCGGACGCACAACUGAACGAAGGCAAGUCUCAUCGACCUCUUGCUUUGAUCAUGGUUGCUUCUAAGUGAGAAAAUAUAUAAAACUUGCUAGACAUAGUUGUUGCAUAAGAUACACCUGAUAUUGAGUGAACAAGAGAAACUAUGCAUUGAUGUCAUGAUGCAUGUUGAUUGCAUGAAUAUCUUAUACCUUGAUACUUGAUGAAACUGGAUGGAAAUGAGGCUAGAGUAGCAUAGUAAGUGUGGGAGCAUGCACUACCGUGGUGGUAGACUUGCGACCGAAUUGCCGUGGCGACAUCUCAGGUUUGCUAGUUUUGGUUGGUGGCUACUCUGGUGAACCAUAUGAACUGUGUGUUGUGGUGCCAUCUAACCUAACUUAUUACCAAUGUGAUCGCAUGAGCUUGUAUGGGAAAGCCUUAGCCUAAACCACUGGCUGGCCUGUUAGUCAUCCGAGGUGGAUAUGUUUUGGGUUGGAGACCUGAGUGGUCAGGACCCAGGGGUUUGUGGGCGCUAGGCGAGGUUGAGCCAUGUUUGGGUGUCGGCUAUGACAGAGCCGUCUUGGGACGGUGAUGUGCGUGUGGGUACAGCGUACAACCUCUGCAGAGUGUAUAAUCCAUUAGAAUGGUCCGUGUCCUCGGUAUAGGACAGAUUAUGGUGUGGACACUUCAACUAGUUGAGCUACCUGACUUAUGAGAUGGAUAACAAGCAUGGAA
rnacentral:lncRNA from 1 species